rnacentral:rRNA from 1 species
GGCGAACGCUGGCGGCGUGCUUAACACAUGCAAGUCGAGCGGAAAGGCCCUUUUGGGGGUACUCGAGCGGCGAACGGGUGAGUAACACGUGAGUAAUCUGCCCUGCACUUCGGGAUAGCUUCGGGAAACCGAGAUUAAUACCGGAUAGGACCUGGCUCCGCAUGGGGUUGGGUGGAAAGAUGUGGUGGUGUGGGAUGUGCUCGCGGCCUAUCAGCUUGAGGGUGGGGUAGUGGCCUACCAUGGCUUUGACGGGUAGCCGGCCUGAGAGGGUGACCGGCCACACUGGGACUGAGACACGGCCCAGACUCCUACGGGAGGCAGCAGUGGGGAAUAUUGGACAAUGGGCGGAAGCCUGAUCCAGCAACGCCGCGUGUGGGAUGACGGCCUUCGGGUUGUAAACCUCUUUCAGCACAGACGAAGCUCUUUGUGGGUGACGGUAUGUGCAGAAGAAGCACCGGCCAACUACGUGCCAGCAGCCGCAGUAACAC